GAUAAACGCUGGCGGCGUGCCUUAUGCAUGCAAGUCGCACGAGCCCCAGGGCUUCGGCCCUGAAGCUAGUGGCGGACGGGUGAGUAACACGCAUGUAACCUGUCCAGAAGUGGGGAACAACUCGCCGAAAGGCGGGCUAAUACCGCAUAUGGUCGCCGGUGAGAGGCCGGUGGACGAAAGCCUUCGGGCGCUUCUGGAGGGGCGUGCGGCCGAUUAGCUAGUUGGUGGGGUAAUGGCUCACCAAGGCGACGAUCGGUAGCUGGUCUGAGAGGACGGCCAGCCACACGGGGACUGAGACACGGCCCCGACUCCUACGGGAGGCAGCAGCAAGGAAUGUUGCGCAAUGGGCGAAAGCCUGACGCAGCAACGCCGCGUGGGGGAUGAAGGCCUUCGGGUCGUAAACCCCUUUUGCAGGGGGAGCAACUGACGGUACCCUGCGAAUAAGCCACGGCUAACUACGUGCCAGCAGCCGCCGUAAUAC
rnacentral:rRNA from 1 species